UUACCGUGACCAGGCCGUGGUGACGGGAAUCCGGUGCGGUACCGGAGCGGCCCUCGCCACUGUGAUCGGGAGUCCACGGCGUACCCGGCGCGAACCGGGGUCACUGGGUGGCAGCACCUGGGAAGGCAAGCCGUGGUCGAAGUACCCGUCAGCCAGGAGACCGGCCACGGCACGCGAAGACCC
rnacentral:ncRNA from 2 species